AACGAACGCUGGCGGCAGGCUUAACACAUGCAAGUCGAGCGCCCCGCAGGGGGAGCGGCAGACGGGUGAGUAACACGUGGGAAUCUACCCAUCCCUACGGAACAACUCCGGGAAACUGGAGCUAAUACCGUAUACGCCCUUCGGGGGAAAGAUUUAUCGGGGAUGGAUGAGCCCGCGUUGGAUUAGCUAGUUGGUGGGGUAAAGGCCUACCAAGGCGACGAUCCAUAGCUGGUCUGAGAGGAUGAUCAGCCACAUUGGGACUGAGACACGGCCCAAACUCCUACGGGAGGCAGCAGUGGGGAAUAUUGGACAAUGGGCGCAAGCCUGAUCCAGCCAUGCCGCGUGAAUGAUGAAGGCCUUAGGGUUGUAAAGUUCUUUCACCGAUGAAGAUAAUGACGGUAGUCGGAGAAGAAGCCCCGGCUAACUUCAUGCCAGCAGCCGCAGUAA
rnacentral:rRNA from 1 species